rnacentral:lncRNA from 1 species
AACGGUUACCUGAAGUCAGGAGAACCACAAAAUGCUUCUCUGAGCAUUGUCUGCUCUGCCCUCUGAAAAGCCCAGAGUGGAAGCCAUUAUUUUGGCCAUUCUUUAGAAAAGCAUUUUCUUUCUACUUUCAAACACCAUCCUUUCUGUCCUAAUCUGAGCCUGGCUCUUUUGCUACUUCUUUAAAAGAUAUGAACAAUUAGUUCACUUCCUUCUUACAACAGCCCUCUCUGUAGCCCAUCUGCUACAGCCCGUCUGUAACACCAUCUGCUAAUGGUGUUAUCUCCCAGCUGAAUGGACCAUAUUCUUCUAAUUCCAACUCUCUGGACUUACUUCUUGGACACACAAGAAACCUGGCAGUUUUCAAGGGUAUAGCAUAUUAUCUUCUAAUCCUGGGAUGAGAAAAUACAGACUGGUAGCAGACAGAAGGAAGUCAUCCUCUCAGGAGCAUCAGGGACCAAGGUGUGGCCUGCAUGGGGUGGCAGGCAAACCCAGCCUACUACAUCUGCAGAGAGAAGCUGGUCAUGGACCACACAUCACCCGACACCAAAAGCUUGCAAGGCUUGUAGCAAAAAGGCCUUCGAAGAACUAGGAAUGGAACACGAAUGGAACAGCAUUGGGCUGAAGGGCUCUUGCAGCUCCUCUUGCCCAAGAUGCCAAUAUGGAUUCCUGAGCUGAAGCUAUCACUACAACUAUAUUAGUCUCCUCUUUCUCACUCACAAAAACUUUUCAGGAGCUUUUUCUCUUGGUUAUCUUCUUGCAUUUCCUAGAACUUGGCUGGAAUUUGGCCUCCUUUGAUGUUUUAGGAAUAGCACAUUGUUGUUCAGGGUAUGCAUGCUUCUGGAGCCUCAAGUAUUACUUCUAUUUUCUGGCAUUUGGUACUCAAAUUAAAUUGUUGGCACCAGUUCCAUAAAGUGUCCCGAGACAUCUUAUUAACCAAAGGCAAAAUCGUGAGCAAGGGAAGGAUGAGUAUUUUACAAUUAGGUUUUAGGCAAGGUUUGAACUGUUCAUUCAUUUGUGGAAGGUGAACUGCAUGUUCAAAAUCUGCAGUUGAUCAAACAUUUGGUUCCAUUAGUUGUUCAGGUCCCUCUAUAACUGGGACCAGUGUUAAAAUAACAUUUUCCUUACCUAAUUCCUCCUCAAAGAAAUUCUCGCUGAGACUGUAACUUGUGCCUGACAUUUUCAAGACUGCCCAGAAGAAAAGACCACAUGCUAAG